CUUCCUCCCUACAUCUUUUGACAAAGCCAUUUUUUUGCCGCACAAAGUGGAGCUAUCCAGGCUGAGCGGCUCCCCGUUUCUUCAAAUAGAUGGCGUGACGCAUAAUUGGUGCCUGUCGCUAUGCGGCUAGCAGAAUAGCAUCGCUCCUGCGCCAUGGGGAUAUGGCAGGGAGCAUGUUGGCUUCCAAGAAAACAUGACGAACUGGCAUCCCCAAAAAGCCUGCAGAGUCUCCAUCCAUUCCUAACUCUGCCAGCGAAAAAUAUCCUCCCGCGGCUACUUCCAAAGAUGGGACUCAGGAACCAAAGUCUGGAUGAAAUAAAAUAAAAAGGGCAGCAAAGCGGAUAAUGACGGUUUGUUUGACAAAGUCCUGCGCAUGCAGGAGGUGAACAGACCUGAGAAUCUCUUAUUCUGUCCUCCUCUCUUUGUUCCACUAUGAAAAUAAACUUAAAUAAAGAAGUAUUUCAUGCAU